GUAUUUACAGCUUUAUGUUUGUCGUGUUGUGUGUUACUUCAUGUUUUGUCAUGUUUGUGUUUUCCAAUUACUAUGAUUGUUAUUGGUGCUGUUGGGUUCGCUACACUAGGUUGCGUGCUUGAUGUAGGCUGGCGUGACGGGAGACUGGGUUGAGAUGGCGUUUGAGAUGGCGGUUGAAGGGAAACAGAUUUGAAUGAAGAAUUUCCCGUAUUAAGAUGUUGUCCUGCUGUAGCAGUCUGAAGACGUCGAAGUUUUAUAUUUUCCCUCUCUCUGUCAAUAUGCAUCUAAACGAAAAAAUUGAUAAUUGACACUAUGAAUGAAAAAACACAAACAACCAAUAAUUUCAACAAAGAGCCAAUAAUUUCAACAAACAACCAAUAAUUUCAACAAAGAGCCAAUAAUUUCAACAUAA